rnacentral:misc_RNA from 1 species
GAAAUGCGAUAAGUAAUGUGAAUUGCAGAAUUCAGUGAAUCAUCGAAUCUUUGGACGCACAUUGCGCCCGCCAGCACUCUGGCGGGCAUGCCUGUUCGAGCGUCAUUUCAACCCUCAGAACCCCUUGCGGGAUCUGGCGUUGGGGAUUGGCAUCCAGCCAGCCCCGAAAUCUAGUGGCGGUCCCUCCGCGACCUCCCCUGUGCAGUAGCGAUACCUCGCAGCGGGACAGCGGUCUGACCACGCCGUAAAACCCCCAACUUCUCAAGGUUGACCUCGAAUCAGGUAGAAAUACCCGCUGAAGUUAAGC